UACGUAGGGGGCGAGCGUUGUCCGGAGUUACUGGGCGUAAAGCGCACGCAGGCGGUUUCGUACGUCUGGAGUGACAGUUCCCGGCUCAACUGGGAAAGGUCUUCGGAAACGGCGAGACUUGAGGGCUUCAGAGGGACACGGAAUUCCGGGUGGAGUGGUGAAAUGCGUAGAUAUCAUUUGGAACGCCAAUGGUGAAAACAGGUUGCUGGGGGUGUGCUGACGCUGAGACACGAAAGCCAGGGGAGCGAACGGG
rnacentral:rRNA from 1 species